ACGGGUGAGUAACGCGUGGGUAACCUGCCUUAUACAGGGGGAUAACAGUCAGAAAUGGCUGCGAAUACCGCAUAAGCGCACAGAGCUGCAUGGUUCAGUGUGAAAAACUCCGGUGGUAUAAGAUGGACCCGCGUUGGAUUAGCUUGUUGGCAGGGUAACGGCCUACCAAGGCGACGAUCCAUAGCCGGCCUGAGAGGGCGAACGGCCACAUUGGGACUGAGACACGGCCCAGACUCCUACGGGAGGCAGCAUG
rnacentral:rRNA from 1 species